CAGUCGCCACGGUAAUACGUAGGGUGCGAGCGUUAAUCGGAAUUACUGGGCGUAAAGCGUGCGCAGGCGGUUCGUUAAGACAGAUGUGAAAUCCCCGGGCUUAACCUGGGAACUGCAUUUGUGACUGACGGGCUAGAGUAUGGCAGAGGGGGGUAGAAUUCCACGUGUAGCAGUGAAAUGCGUAGAGAUGUGGAGGAAUACCGAUGGCGAAGGCAGCCCCCUGGGCCAAUACUGACGCUCAUGCACGAAAGCGUGGGGAGCAAACAGGAUUAGAUACCCGCGUAGUCCCUGUCUCUUAUAA
rnacentral:rRNA from 1 species